UCCAACAAUGGAUCCGACAACAUUGCCAAACAUUUCAUUUGGAAUCGCAAGAUAUUCUAUUCGAAUUUCAUUUUUCAAAUCAUCAAUUGUCACUGGUUUUGCAGUGUAAACCUUAUCUUUGAGAUGUCCCCAUUAAAAAAAAAAUCCAUUAGCGUGAGGUCUGGAGAACGUGCAGGAAAUUCAACGCUGCCUCAUGCUACCUCUCCUCCCAAUCCAUUUGUUUGGAUUUGUUGCAUCGAGGUAAGCCGUACAUCGCAAAAAACAAUACAUUAGGAU